CCUACGGGAGGCAGCAGUGGGGAAUAUUGGGCAAUGGGCGCAAGCCUGACCCAGCAACGCCGCGUGAAGGAAGAAGGCUUUCGGGUUGUAAACUUCUUUUAUUGAGGACGAAACAAAUGACGGUACUCAAUGAAUAAGCCACGGCUAACUACGUGCCAGCAGCCGCGGUAAUACGUAGGUGGCAAGCGUUAUCCGGAUUUACUGGGGGUAAAGGGCGUGUAGGCGGGACUGCAAGUCAGAUGUGAAACCCAUGGGCUCAACCCAUGGCCUGCAUUUGAAACUGUAGUUCUUGAGUGAAGGGGGGGCAGGCGGAAUUCCGGGGGUAGCGGGGAAAUGCGGAGAUAAUAGGAGGAAAACCAGUGGCGAAGGCGGCCUGCUGGACAUUAAAUGACGGUGAGGCGCGAAAGGGUGGGGAGCAAACAGGAGUAGAUACCCCUGUAGUC
rnacentral:rRNA from 1 species